rnacentral:rRNA from 1 species
CAGCAGCCGCGGGAAUACAGAGGGUGCGAGCGUUAAUCGGAUUUACUGGGCGUAAAGCGUGCGUAGGCGGCUUCUUAAGUCGGAUGUGAAAUCCCUGAGCUUAACUUAGGAAUUGCAUUCGAUACUGGGAAGCUAGAGUAUGGGAGAGGAUGGUAGAAUUCCAGGUGUAGCGGUGAAAUGCGUAGAGAUCUGGAGGAAUACCGAUGGCGAAGGCAGCCAUCUGGCCUAAUACUGACGCUGAGGUACGAAAGCAUGGGGAGCAAACAGGAUUUGAUACCCCGGUAGUCCCUGUCUCUUAUAC